rnacentral:rRNA from 1 species
UACGAAGGGGGCUAGCGUUGCUCGGAAUUACUGGGCGUAAAGGGCGCGUAGGCGGCGCUGCAAGUCAGGCGUGAAAUUCCUGGGCUUAACCUGGGGGCUGCGCUUGAGACUGUGGUGCUAGAGGACGGAAGAGGGUCGUGGAAUUCCCAGUGUAGAGGUGAAAUUCGUAGAUAUCGGGAGGAACACCAGUGGCGAAGGCGGCAGCCUGGACCGAUACUGACGCUGAGGUGCGAAAGCGUGGGGAGCAAACAGG